GAUUUGGAAGUAACGCCAUUGUCUGCUGUUUCCAGCUUCAUCCUUAUUGAACGUCUUAGCGUGAAAAAGGAUUUACAGUUGGAGGAGAAAGUGGUCUCCAUCGGCAUCAAAGAGGGACUUGCUUUGCUGAAGGCAGCAUUGGAUUCUCCCACUGUGCUGACUGAUGUUUUCUGCACGUGGAUUAA